GCUCACUAUUGCGUCACGUGACCCUGCAUUAUCUGGAACCUGCGUGGGACCCUGCACCCUGGCUCCGCCCAGCGCGAUCCUUCCGGAUCACCACCUCUCCGGGUGACCCUGUGCAGGCCACGCCUCGCAGCAGAGCACCGCCUCCCUGUGCUCCUGCCCCACCAGCAGCACAGUGGGAUCCUGCACGCCACGCUCAGGGGCGGGGCGGUUUUGUCAAACCUUUCCGGGGGGUGGUUCCAGGUUUUAAGAAACUGGAGAAUGCUUUCUCACCUGUCCAGAUUGAUGAAUAUGAUACUCUGUGAAUCAUCGAUCAGCACCCUGAGUUCCCGAGCUGCAUUGGAAAGAUCCUCAGCUAAUCGAGAAAAUGUUACGUUCUCUGGGAAAAACCACCCCGCAGAAGACAGAAGGCACAUGCCGGCAAAAUAAGUAGCACAAAGCACGACUACACACUCACAAGACUUGCGGGUCGCUCCACUUGCUGACACAGAGCUCCUCCAGCAACUCUUCUUCAUCCAAGAUCUCCAAAAUAGACUCUUUGAAAAUCUUGAUAUCCGUUUCUAACUCUGACAGACUAGAAGAGUAGGUGUAUAGAAGUGAUCAGUAACAACCUUCCACAUUUCACUCAAGAUGUGCAGUUUGCUUCUGUCCACAGAGGAAUGUUUGGGAUCCACCAAAGCUUCCAACGUCUCAAGGAUCAGUGGCUGCAAAACGCCAAGUUUCCCCUGAAGAGUGCUGAUCUAGAUAACGACAUGAUCUUUCAUAAGAAUUAAAACGAUCUUUUUAGAAUACUCAGAGUCAGUGAAUCUUCUGAUUAAACAGAGAAAUCUGUCCUAGCCGGGAACACGGCCAGUGCCCGAAUACGGACAUCAGAGGACUCAACAACCACGUGUGAUGUUGUCACGGGGCUUGCACUUGUCACAGGGAAUCAGCUCCCAUAAGGUCUUCCCCGAUAAACAGUAUGAAAGGAACGCAAGACUGACAGACUAAAAGGAAACCUGUGUUCUACGGUCACAACACAACUUCUAUAUUUGAAACUCGUGUUCUCUGUUAACAGAGUGCAGUUCAAAAUUCCUACGUAACAAAUUCUUCUGAAAACCAAAGCAUAACUUGGGACUUUAAAAUAAAUCAGUGUCAAGUCAAAA